CACGGGAAGUCACAAGAGGAAGUAGGCCACCAAAGACAAUCACUGAAAGGCGCAAACAUCAUUGGAACACGUAAUUGGCAAAGCGCUAUUCUCCGCUCCUCAACGGAACCCAAGCAAAGCCCCUGGUGAUGUUGUGCUGAGAAGCGCGGUCCAAUUCUGCCUCGUCAGAUUUAGCCCCAGCCCCACCCUGCCUGCAGGGCUCUGGGGCCGGCUGGAGAGACAUCUACCUCCAUCCCCCUCUGUCCCAGUCAGAAAUGAAACUGAUGGGAAGAUUUGAACAAUCCCAGGAUCCUGAAAGAAUCCAGUAUAGGGGAUUUUAUGGCAGACUCAUCUGAAAGGUGGUAAUGCCAAUACCUGCCUCCAAGGGUUGCUGUGGAGACUGAGCUAAGACAGAUAAAGUACUUGGCACCCAAUGGAUUAAAAAGCUAUGGAAAUCAAUCCUUCCCAGAGGGACGUGAAAGAUGGCUCAAUCCGAUACGAAGUCCAUUUGUGGCUCUAUGCACACUCCGAGAUGGGCACAGCCCAACACAGUCUUCCCUUGGAGAACAGAGGGCUUGGGUUUGGAGGGCACUUCGAUCCCACCCCCACGCACCCCCCAUUCUGGUCCUGCUUUUGGUCAAAUGGCUCCACUUCUCUGGCCAUUCAUUUGCAUCAAGCUCCUUACGAGGUUAUGAUGAAGAUCAGAGGAGAGGCAUCAAAAAAUGUUUUAGAAACUAGACGUUGUAUAUCAAAGUAUAUAAUUGCAAUGAUACAAUUUCUUGCUACUAAGCAAAGUCUGCAGACAGGUAGGUGGAGGUUGUGAGUGCAUUUUCUUUUUUUCUUUUUCUUUUUUUUUAAUAUUUUUUAAAUGUUUAUCCAUUUUUGAGCAACAGAGAGAGACAGAGCGCGAGCAGGCGAGGGACAGAGACAGAGGAAGACACAGGAUAUGAAGCAGGUUUCAGGCUCUGGGCUGUCAGCACAGAGACCGAUGCGGGGCUCGAACUCACUGACCACGAUAUCAUGACCUGAGUUGAAGUGGGACGCUUAACUUAACGCACCACCCAGGUGCCCCAUGAGUACGUUGUCAAUACUCUAAGAUCACACAUACAUGCAUGGUCCUACUAGAGACCACCAUUUCUUCUUUUUUAAAAAUUUAUUAUUAUUAUUUUAAUUUUUAUUACUUUUUAAGUUAAAUUUUAGUUAAUAUACAAUGCAGUAUUGGUUUCCGGAGUAGAAUCCAGUGAUUCAUCACUUACAUACAACAGCCAAUGCUCAUCACAAGUGUCCUCCUUAACACCCAUCCCCCGUCUAGCCCAUCUCCCACCCAUCUCCCUCCAUCAACCCUCCGUUCUCUAUCUUUAAGAGUCCUUCAUGGUUUGCUUCCCUCUCUUCUCUUUUCCUCUCUCUUCCCAUACGCUCCUCUAUUUUGUUUCUUAAAUUCCACAUAUGAGUGAAAUCAUAGGGUAUUUGUAGAGACCACCUUUUCUAAUAGUGAAGCUGUUCUGGUGGCUGAUGGUGUUUUUAGCUGGAGGAAAGGCUGCCGAUUAGACUGCUUUGCUGUGUAGGUGGAGAACGGGUCUUGAGUGGUGGCUCUGAGCUGUGGCUUUUGCACAGCUGUGGGCGGUGAGGCUGAGACACUUCCUCGGGAGCUUACCAACCUUUUCCUUUCACUUUUCCUGCCCUCACUCCCCUUUUUAUUUUUAGGGUUUUUUUACUAAAGAAGUUAUAUUUGCUCAUCGCAGAUGGUCUAGGAAGUUUAGAAAACAUUAAAGACACAGAGAAAAAUGCAUAAUCCCGUCUCCUUGAGGCAACCCCUGUGGAGACUGUGAAUUGUUCCCUUUCUUUUAUUGUUGUUGUUCCUGUUGUUUUAGCUGUACAUUUUUCAGACAUCAUUGAGAGCCUAUGAUUUAUGACAUUUUGGUAUCCUGCCCACCUCCAUUUCUGAUUGCAGCAUAGUAGAACCUUUAUGAUCCCUAGGGAUAGAUCUUGGGACCCUCUUGAAUCCCCAUAUUUGCUAACACUGGUAUAGAGUACAAUUUCCUCAAUACAAUUUCUCUCACCCAUUUCACCAGCAGUUGACUCUCUGUUCAGGAUAAGUUUCCACUACUUACCAUGAACUCGUACAUCUGUGACACUAACUGCAUUCUACUGUAGCCUGUUGACUGGGCUCCAUUACUGACUAUGGAACUGGAUCCCAGAACCCAACCUUUGACUGCUCGAAACUCAAAUCCACUUGACCAGAAAGAAAAAAUGACUCCAUGUCUUGGACUUUCAGGGUCACUUGUGAAUAGUUUCAACCUCGAAUAUUCAACUGUGGCUACCAAGGGUGUCCUGAUCCCUGCACCGCUGAAGAAGGGCAAGUCAAGAUUCUGUUUCUCAUCCAUCUUUCUUGACCUUCUCCCAGGUGGAAUUUGGAGACUUGCAACCUUGGAGAAUCACCUCACUUAGCCUCAUUGCCAUCCAGGGAGGGCAGACCCACAGCAAAAGUCUUCUAUUUUCCAGCUGGUGAAAGGGAUUGAGGUGGGGAUAAAGCAAUGUGACCGUAAGCUGCCCCCUCCCAGAAUCUCUCAUGGGGCCCAGUAGAGGUUUCCUAUCAAAUGGCCACUGGAAAGAUGCAAAUGUCGACCUCUCCCCGCUGCUUAUCCUGAGUGGAAUCAGAAUUCUCUCCUCUGCAUAACUCAAGCCUAUGACUUCAUGCCAGGGCCUCCUUUUGUGAACACACUAAAGGCAUUAUCCUAGCAGGCAAUCCUUGUUUUUCUACACUUGUGAUUUCAAGGGAGCUGAUAGUGCCAUCUCCCCUGGAGCCAGCCUCAUUGUCCCAGGCCUUUUGGAACCCAUAUUGAGUAACUUCGAGGUGGCCCGUUAGAGGUGGCUUACACAUUGCAAGUGAGAGAAGGACAAGAAAGUGGCUUUAGGAGAAAAGAACAAAGCCAAACCAGUGAGUUGUGAAGCUGAUUUGGGCACAGGUUUCAGCCCUCUGCUACUCCUCCUUUGAUGGCAGCCUGCUAGUUUCUUCAAAGGGAGGGAGAUAGUGCCACACUUCAGAAGACAUCCUAGGGAUGCCCGGAUUUUGUAAAAUCUUUCUGCAACCAAGUGUCAGUCACUCUUUUGCUCAGAUGUGUUUAAUGGCUCCUUAUGAUUUCCAGGAUAAAAUCAAAUCCCUGGGUAUCAAUACUUGGAGGGACCCCUCAAUGAUCUCCCUUAACUUGCCCUUCUAGGUUUUAUUCCUUUUUCUCCAUCCCAUCUAGUAGAUUCAGUGUGGUCUCUUCAUUGUGUUCCACUGAUUAACCCCUCCUCUGCUGGCAAUGGCUCCUCACCUCCUUCCUUACUUUCUCUUCAGGUUACUUCCCAUACUCACCUAACACAUAA